GACGAACGCUGGCGGCGUGCUUAACACAUGCAAGUCGAACGGAAAGGCCCUGCUUGCAGGGUGCUCGAGUGGCGAACGGGUGAGUAACACGUGGGUGAUCUGCCCCUUACUUUGGGAUAAGCCUGGGAAACUGGGUCUAAUACUGGAUAGGACCAUGCUGUAGGUGGUGUGGUGGAAAGAUUAGUUUCGGUAAGGGAUGAGCUCGCGGCCUAUCAGCUUGUUGGUGGGGUAAUGGCCUACCAAGGCGUCGACGGGUAGCCGGCCUGAGAGGGUGGACGGCAACAUGGGGACUGAGAUACGGCCCAGACUCCUACGGGAGGCAGCAGUGGGGAAUAUUGCACAAUGGGCGCAAGCCUGAUGCAGCGACGCCGCGUGGGGGAUGACGGCCUUCGGGUUGUAAACUCCUUUCAGCCAUGACGAAGCCCUUGUGGUGACGGUAGUGGUAGAAGAAGCACCGGCUAACUACGUG
rnacentral:rRNA from 1 species